UACGUAGGGUCCGAGCGUUGUCCGGAAUUACUGGGCGUAAAGAGCUCGUAGGUGGUUUGUCGCGUUGUUCGUGAAAACUCACAGCUCAACUGUGGGCGUGCGGGCGAUACGGGCAGACUGGAGUACUGCAGGGGAGACUGGAAUUCCUGGUGUAGCGGUGGAAUGAGCAGAUAUCAGGAGGAACACCGGUGGCGAAGGCGGGUCUCUGGGCAGUAACUGACGCUGAGGAGCGAAAGCGUGGGGAGCGAACAGG
rnacentral:rRNA from 1 species